AGUGAACGCUGGCGGUAGGCCUAACACAUGCAAGUCGAACGGCAGCACAGUAAGAGCUUGCUCUUACGGGUGGCGAGUGGCGGACGGGUGAGGAAUACAUCGGAAUCUACUUUUUCGUGGGGGAUAACGUAGGGAAACUUACGCUAAUACCGCAUACGACCUACGGGUGAAAGCAGGGGAUCUUCGGACCUUGCGCGAUUGAAUGAGCCGAUGUCGGAUUAGCUAGUUGGCGGGGUAAAGGCCCACCAAGGCGACGAUCCGUAGCUGGGCUGAGAGGAUGGUCGCCCAACCUGGAACUGAGACACGGCCCAGAUCCCUACGGGGGGCACAGUGGGGAAAUAUUGGCAAAGGGGCGAAAGCCUGAUCCAGCCCUCCCGGGGGGGUAAAGAAGGCCUUCGGGUUUUAAAGCCCUUUUGUUGGGAAAAAAAAGCCGCAGGUUAACACCCCGCUGUUCUGACGGUACCAAAAAAAAAAGCCCCGCCUAACUCCGG
rnacentral:rRNA from 1 species